UGGCAGUGCAGUGACACAGGCUGGCGAUAUUACCACGGAGCACGAACUUCUUAUGAGACAGACAGAGAAAACCUUUUCAGAACCAUGGCAAGCCAAGAAGAAGCAAAGAGAAUGUAUGUGCCAGACAUGGCUUGCAAACUCCCAAUAUGAGCACCUGCUGUUGACAUUUGGAGAUCCACCCUAAAGACAAGUGCGAAGCCAUGAGGAAUAAACUGACAUAGGAACCCUGUUUUGUUAAUAUUUUUUAAAAUGAUAUAUCUGACUAACUACAUCUGCUUCUCACCAAGGUUUCGAAAAUGGUUUACAAACACAGGAGUCAUUUUUUAACAGGGUUAUAGUGAAACAAUUGGGACUGGAUCAUGAUCAUUCUCAAGCUUGAAAUGAUUGACGUAGAGAGCCUGAGAGAUAUGGAACUGUCUAAGGAGUGAUAUGUUUAAUUGAAUAUACAUAUUUAGAAUGUUGUGUAAAGAUACAGGUGUGUAUACACACACACACAUGCAGGUUUGGAACCUCACCUUUGAGAUUUCACUGUUUCCCAUUGGACUUUAUACCAUAGCAAAUGUGUGAAUGUGAAAAUUUCUCCUCCUUCUCUUAGUAUCUUAGCAAGAAUUUCUACUUCAGUGCUUUCCGGAAUGAUUCCUUCAGGUGUAAACUUACGAUUUUUAGAGUUUUUCGAAAUCAAACAUCUAAGAAAUGUAGCAUCUGAACAAUGGAAGUUUUUCAGUGGAAGUAUUGUUUGGACUUUUUUUUUCCAGGAUUUUUGUUUCUUACCAUGCAAAGUGUUCCUCAAAACAACUGAAAUGCAACAGAUAAGGGGUGUGUAGAUCAUUCCAAAAUACUAAGAAACCUGAGCUUCAUGUCUAAGAGUUUCCAUAAACUUGGUGGUGUUUAUGAGCCUAGGAAGCUGUGCUGGCUGAGUUGUACACCUGUUGAAAUAAGGACAUUGGCUCCCCACAAGAGUCUCUUGAUUUAGAAAAUAACAGUUCAUGUUAUCAUCCACUGUAAAGUAAACGAUACUGUGACAUUUUACACUUGAUUUUGGAAGCCCAUGAGGAUAACAGCACUCAGCUGUUUACAAUGACUGUUUUCUCCUCAAAUGUAUCCAGAGGUUUGCUUUGAACCAUAGGAAGCUAUUAACAAUUUUGGAACAAUUUUGGCC
ensembl:lincRNA Gm28703 predicted gene 28703